rnacentral:rRNA from 1 species
UGAGAUACGGGCCAGACUCCUACGGGAGGCAGCAGUGAGGAAUAUUGCACAAUGGGCGCAAGCCUGAUGCAGCAACGCCGCGUGCGGGACGAAGGCCUUCGGGUCGUAAACCGCUUUUCUGGGGAAAGAGCAAGGACGGUACCUCAGGAAUAAGUCUCGGCUAACUACGUGCCAGCAGCCGCGGUAAAACGUAGGAGGCGAGCGUUAUCCGGAUUUACUGGGCGUAAAGCGCACGCAGGCGGCUCCGUGAGUCGGACGUGAAAGCUCUCGGCUUAACCGGGAGAGGCCGUUCGAUACUGCGGGGCUUGAGGUAGGGAGAGGAAUGCGGAAUUCCCGGUGUAGUGGUGGAAUGCGUAGAUAUCGGGAGGAACACCUGUGGCGAAAGCGGCAUUCUGGCCCUCACCUGACGCUGAGGUGCGAAAGCGUGGGUAGCAAACAGGAUUAGAUACCCUGGUAGUCCACGCCGUAAACGAUGUCAACUGGGUGUCGGUAGUUUUACACUAGCGGUGCCGAAGCUAACGCG